GACGAACGCUGGCGGCGUGCUUAACACAUGCAAGUCGAACGGUAAGGCCCUUCGGGGUACACGAGUGGCGAACGGGUGAGUAACACGUGGGUGAUCUGCCCUGCACUUCGGGAUAAGCCUGGGAAACUGGGUCUAAUACCGGAUAGGACCACUGCCUGCAUGGGUGGUGGUGGAAAGCUUUUGCGGUGUGGGAUGGGCCCGCGGCCUAUCAGCUUGUUGGUGGGGUGAUGGCCUACCAAGGCGACGACGGGUAGCCGGCCUGAGAGGGUGACCGGCCAAACUGGGACUGAGAUACGGCCCAGACUCCUACGGGAGGCAGCAGUGGGGAAUAUUGCACAAUGGGCGCAAGCCUGAUGCAGCGACGCCGCGUGAGGGAUGACGGCCUUCGGGUUAUAAACCUCUUUCAGCACCGACGAAGCGCAAGUGACGGUAGGUGCAGAAGAAGGACCGGCCAACUACGUGCCAGCCGCCGCGGUAA
rnacentral:rRNA from 1 species